ACCCUGAGGAUUUAAUUUGGUGUGGCUUACUAAUUAGGAUGCUAGUAGUCACACCCAGCGUUGGAGUUACCUGUUGAUUCCGAACUAAGAUUGAGUGGUGUUUUCCUUCACGGCAACACAACUGAGUUCAAGAGAAAGACAGCAUGAUGGAAUGGACAAGCCCAAGCCAGGACACUUUUCUAAGACACCUGUCUACAGAUAACCGAUCAUGAAAUACAAGUGUCUUCCAGCACCCAGGAAGAAUUACAAAUGUGUCCCCUGCCAUCGGCUGGGGCAAAGAUGGAUGCUCACACCUGCCCUGAGAAAACUCUUCUGCACUUACAGGAGCCAAAAAGGAUGGUCAGCUCUGACCAAGAGCCUUCUGCACCCUGAAUUCCCCACGCCUUCCCAUCAUGGAAUCUGAACGACGUGUUAAGGAAAUGAACAAAGUAACUCUCAUUCUACCAAAUGGGUUCAAAGCAACGUGGGGUGCGGUGGGGAUCAAUACGUAUAAUGAUAAGCAAUCAGCUUCGGGAAUGAAUGCACAACCAUAAAUGGUUAUUGG